AUUCUACAACUUCUUUCUAUUCUCAAUCAAAAUUCAAGAUUUUAAUUUUAUCAAAUCGCUCAAGUUUAUUUCUGUAAUUUAUCUUUCUUGGUUUUAGUAUUUACUAUUAUUUAUACAGUCUCUAUUUUAUGCAUAAUUAUUUUGUACUAGUAAAAUGGUCUCCAUUUUGGGUUCCUUCAUAUACCAUCUGCCCUUGAAAUUGCCAUGCACCCACUCAAAAGUAAUUUUUUUUCAAAACUUGCUCUUAUAAUAGAUUUGAGUUAUGCCAGUUUGAUUUUCUGAUUUCUUUGGGGUAAUCAAUGGAAAUCUUGAAAAGAUGUUGAAGAAGGAAGGAAACCCAAUUUCCAAUUCUCUAUCUAAUUUAUGUUACUAUGUUUUCUUUUUUGUCACUAUCAUUGCUACUUGAUGCUAAUUUACCGGAGAGUGAACAAGGAAGAAAUAUGUUCUUAAGCUGAGUUUGAUGUAAAAGAAAUUACAUUUGCUUAAUUUUACCUUGGAGAUUGUUUGAAGAAUCUGAAUUUUACAGGGAAAAUACCAUCUCUUUGUUGUUUGUGAUCAAAUAAUAAUAGCGAUUCUUGGAAUGUGAGAAUAAGCAACAAUUGAUUUCCUAAUUUUGCUUAAACAACAUGGAAUUUCUAAUAUUACCUUCAACAAGAUAAGUUAAGAUGGUUUCCAAUAUCCAUUUUGUCCCAUGAGUUUGAUGUUGUUUGGAAGUUUGUCUAAAUUCUUCAAAACUUCAUCAACUUAUACUGAUGUGAAAUUUCCUUACUCUUAAUUCUGGCUUGGAAGGGUACCAUAUCAAUGUGGAUGGAAAACAUAUGACCUCAUUUCCAUACCACCCUGUAAGUUACAACUAUUGAGGAUCUAUGGUCUUGUGAUAUAUGGGACUUGCUCUAGUGUUCAAAUAAUGUUAUAGGGAUUCACACUUCAAGAUUCCACUGGUUUAUCUUUUAUGGGAGACAUUAAUGUCCACUCUUGUUUUCGCUGCUUCCUUGUCCACACCACACCCCAAUUUUGCACCUCAACAGAAUCUUCAUUGGUCUAACAGAUGGAAGGCUCCACCUAUUCUAGAAAGGGCUGUUAAACUGAUCCUUGGUAUUCUUUCAACGGGCAACAACUUUGCUGAACGUAUGGCUAUCAAGAAGUCUUGGAUGCAGUACAAGCUAAUAAAAUCUUCAAAUACUAUUGCUUAUUUCUUUGUUGCGCUGAUAGGUGAACCAAUUAAUAGCAUGCAUGCCACAAAUGUAACCUCUUUUAAUUCUUUUGUUGAAAGCUUCUGAAAUUUAUUCAAAAGAAUUUCUUUUGACAGCAUGCAAGAAAUGAAGUGAGUAUGGUGUUAAAUAAAGAAAUUGACUUUUUCAGAGACAUUGUGAUAGCACCAUACAUGCAUAACUAUGACUAAAGAAAAUUGCAAUAUGUAAAUAUGGGGUUAGUUGUGGAUUCAUUGAUAAAUUAAGGGUUGAUAUUAUGUUUGUACUCGAUUGAUUUUAUUUUGUACUUUAGCAGUUUAGAAGAGCUUUUGCAAAGUAUAUCACGAAAAUUGAUGACACAAGAAACAACUUGAGACCAAGAGCUUGUACAUUGGUUUUCUAAAUUAUUACCUUAAGCCUAUGCAAGGUUGUCAAUGGACAGUGACGUAUGAGAGCGAGGAAGAUUAAAAUGGAUGGUGCACAUCGUAGCAGUGGCCACCAAAGCACCAGAGGAGAAAAGCUCUGGUUUUUGAGCGACAAUUCAAGAUCAACCAACCACUCAACUGUAUGAGAAUAAUUUUAGUUUAUGAGUUAUUCUUUUUUUCUCCCACUUCCAUUUUUUUCUUUUGCACCCCCCUUUUUUCUUUUUAUAUUUUUGGUAUUUUGACUUGCAAGCAAUUCUACUUUUGUUUGAUGAUUUUUAAAUAAGAGAUUCUCUUUAUUAA